UACGAAGGGGGCUAGCCGUUGCUCGGAAUCACUGGGCGUAAAGGGUGCGUAGGCGGGUCUUUAAGUCAGGGGUGAAAUCCUGGAGCUCAACUCCAGAACUGCCUUUGAUACUGGGAGCUUGAGUCCGGGAGAGGUGAGUGGAACUCCGAGUGUAGAGGUGAAAUUCGUAGAUAUUCGGAAGAACACCAGUGGCGAAGGCGGCUCACUGUCCGGUACUGACGCUGAGGUGCGAAAGCGUGGGGAGCAAACAGG
rnacentral:rRNA from 1 species